rnacentral:rRNA from 1 species
UACGUAGGGGCCUAGCGUUGUCCGGAUUUAUUGGGCGUAAAGAGCUCGUAGGCGGUUCGGCAAGUCGGAUGUGAAAUCUCCACGCUUAACGUGGAGGGGCCAUUCGAAACUGCCGUGACUCGAGUCCGGUAGGGGAGUGUGGAGUUCCUGGUGUAGCGGUGAAAUGCGCAGAUAUUGCUCGGAAGGCCGGAGCCGAAGGGGCCCCACUGGUACGUAACUGACGCUGAGGCACGAAAGCGUGGGGAGCAAACAGG